GGUGCGUAGGUGGUUGUUUAGGUCUGCUGUGAAAGCCCCGGGCUCAACCUGGGAAUGGCAGUGGAUACUGGACAGCUAGAGUGCGGUAGAGGGUAGUGGAAUUCCCGGUGUAGCAGUGAAAUGCGUAGAGAUCGGGAGGAACACCAGUGGCGAAGGCGGCUACCUGGACCAGCACUGACACUGAAGCACGAAAGCGUGGGGAGCAAACAGGAUUAGAUACCCUGGUAGUCCACGCCCUAAACGAUGCGAACUGGACGUUGGGUGCAACUUGGCACUCAGUGUCGAGGCUAACGCGUUAAGUUCGCCGCCUGGGGAGUACGGUCGCAAGACUGAAACUCAAAGGAAUUGA
rnacentral:rRNA from 1 species